CCUACGGGAGGCAGCAGUGAGGAAUAUUGGUCAAUGGGCGCGAGCCUGAACCAGCCAAGUAGCGUGAAGGAUGACUGCCCUACGGGUUGUAAACUUCUUUUAUAAAGGAAUAAAGUGAGGCACGUGUGCCUUUUUGUAUGUACUUUAUGAAUAAGGAUCGGCUAACUCCGUGCCAGCAGCCGCGGUAAUACGGAGGAUCCGAGCGUUAUCCGGAUUUAUUGGGUUUAAAGGGUGCGUAGGCGGACAGUCAAGUCAGCGGUAAAAAUGCGGUGCUCAACGCCGUACAGCCGUUGAAACUGGCAGUC
rnacentral:rRNA from 1 species